UAUAUAUAUAUAUAUAUAUAUAUAUAUAUAUAUAUAUACACACACACACGUGAUUACUAAAUUAUGUGAAAAUUAUGACAAUAUUAUUUAACUGAACUUAUUUAGGAUUUAGCUAUUAAAUAAAAUGUCAUAAAAUGCCAUUUCGACCAAAAUGUUAUUAAACACAAUACAUAAUAUAUAUGAUGUGAUGGAAAUGACUGCAGAACAAAUGACAAUUCUUUUGUAAGUUAUGCAUAUUCACUGUCUGACAUUGUUAGGAGACAAAUGAAAUGAGAGCGUUAAAGUGUGCUUUAAGAGAGUCUGUUUUCUAAAAGCCCACAGGGACAGCACUUGAACACACACUCAUAGAUAUUGCUCCACAUGCACUCACACUCACUCUUUGGUACUAUAUUAGGUCCACACUGUGUGUGCAAACAGCCCUCUUGUCUCUAGGGCGUAAUCCAUUUGAUGUUUACAUCAAGUGCUAUUGUGGCAGAUGGGGUAAAAUGUCCCUCAGGGGUGUUUAUCCUCAGCUGGGGAGUCCAGACUGCUGACUGAGUGAGGCAGACAAGGCCUGACACCUGAGCUCCACUGCUGUCACUCUUUACAGCAAAUCUGCUUGUGAGCCAUUGAGAUUCAUCAAAUAUUGAAUGGCCACAGUUUCCGUUUCGUGAGCAGAAAGGGUUAGAGAGAGAAAGAGAGAGAGAACUAGAGAGCAGAUACAACAAAAAGAGGUUGUCCUACGGAAACGGGAGGUCAGUGAGAUGGCGGGGAUGGUUAAUGACGACCAAGCGGCCCAAGUGGGGUAAGUGAGCUCUCCAUGAAUACAACACUUAAUUGCUGAUGUUUUGGCUAGUGUCAGAGUGAGUUAAAAGGUCUCGGCUGGGGAUACUCAAGCCUCUGAGUGUAAUUCAAAGACAGAUGGAUUAAUUGAUAACCUCCCAGUGAGGGGUAAACAGCAGGAAUUGGCACUGUGUAAAGAGAAGCACAGCCAUGUGUCAAGGAUUCUAUUCAAAUGUAAAAAAAAAAAAAAAAAAAACCCUAAACAAAAAGAAACAUAUACGUGUGCCUUUAAUCUCUACACUCAGUCUUUCUUACACAAAUACAGAACGAGUUCGAGUGAUCACAGCAACAAGGAACAAAACUCUUCACUGGAUCAACAGGAGCAGGUCAGAGUUGUUCUUUAUCAAUGGACCGAUCAGUACAGAGAUUAAUAAUGAUGACACUAAGGGAUUUUCAUGUAACACAGUUAGGGGAGAGCGGGGCACAACCUAACGCUUUUCGACUUUCUCAGUUUGUGUAAAUCUACUUAGGGUUCAGAGAAUUUCUUUUGUUCCACAUUAAUUUCACACAGGUUUGAUACAAAUAUGUGGCUUUGUUUCAUUGAUACAGUGUAUACUUUUUUCUUUAUUUACCCCGAAAGAAGGGAAAUGAAAUCUGACGAGAUGCCCCAUUGGUGGGGCACAUUGUAACAUGACCAUAUGACAGCUUAAAAUGUUAUCUGAUUUAAUGAAAAAAAUAUACAUGACAAACUAAAAUAUUUUGUCAUUAAAAGACAAUUAUUAUUUUUUUCAUAUAAAAUGAUAGCAUUUUUUUUUAGAAAUUCAAAUUUAAAUAAUUUUGUAAUUUGACAAUGAACACUGCAAAACACAGCUAUACAGCACUGGUCAAAACAAUACACCCACACAGAUGAAGAAACAUAUGCAGACAUUCAGAAAAACACACAGCUGAACAAAACACUCUCCUCCCUCCACUCACAGCUCUCACAGAACACGGGAUAAAUAGACAAGCCAGUACAAAUUUCUUGAAAUAAUAUUUUUUAAAUGUUCAGGUUCUUCAGUCUUUAUUCAGCUUUUUUCCCAUGGUUUCUCAACAGAUAUUCAUAAAAGUUAAUUAUGGCAAUUAUAUCGUAACUGUAUAGAAUAGCAUAGUUCUAAUAACGGUGUUACAACAAACCCUAUCUGCGCAACUGGAAUUUAAACCUGGUUAGUAUCUUCUGCUAGUUAGUGAAGCAUUAAAGAACUAGCUAAACUGCUAAAUAACAGAUUGGAGAUUAAAACAAUAUCAGAUUUGUCUAAUUUUAAACAAACCAAAAAUAUAGAUGAAAAAAUAACUCAAGAAAUUUAGUUUUGCUAUUGUUAAUUAAAUGUUCAGCAAUGUCUCCCAAAGAUUUCUGAAUUUUUGUGCAUUGUUUUCUCUAUAUAUUGUCGAUAUGGUACCUAGAAGAUUCAUUAUGCUAGCAUAUUUGGAAGUAUUUAAACCAUGUGUGUUACAACUAACCCUGAGUUAGGUUGUGCCCCGCGCUCCCCUAAUAUUAGUCGUCAAACCAUCCUAGGUGUAUAUGAUUUUCUUCUUUCGGCCGAACACAAACAGAAUUAUAUUUAAUAAAAUCUUGGCUCUUCCCAGCUUUGUAAUGGCAUUUGUCAAUUCUCACCUAAGCUUACGCUACGCCUAAGUCCUAUAUCCUACAUCAGGUCAGAAGUCACUCUUUCACUGGAACUCGACUCUCUCAUGAACAUGCGUAUAGCCAUUGCAGGAAGCCAGUGAUUGUAGUUUAUGAAGUUUUAAAUAUGGAUUUUUUUUUUUUUACAAAACCCAUUGCUUUGUUUCAGAAGGCAUUUAUUAACCCAUUUGGAGUUGUAUGGAUUACAUUUAAGAUAGAUGGAUGCACUUUUUGGAGCGUCAAAAACUCGGGCACUAUUCAAUUCCAUUACAAAUCUGGGAAGAGCCAGGAUAUUGUUUUAAAAAUGUUUUCUUUUUUUUCUUUUUUUUUUUUUUUAAAUAUAACUGAUUGUGUGAAGAAAGUCAUAUACACCUAGGAUGGCUUGAGGGUGAGUAAAUUUUCAUUUAUGGGUGAACUAUUCCUUAAAGAUUAACAACACAUUAUUGUCUAUAAAGAUUUGACAUUGUUGCUUAUUACAUGACGUUCUAGAAUUCUUGAUUCUGAUUAUUUAGAAGGAGCAGAUCACACAGAAUGCAUUCUUGCAUUUAAAAAUGUGAAAUGCAGCGCAGUGAAAUAGAAAAGAAUUCAAGGUCUGAAGACGUGUUUUAAACUUUAAUGUUAACGUUGAACUUUUAUUUAUUUAUUUUAACUUCGCAGUGUGCAUGUUUACAUAAAACAAUUAAACAUGAGACAGCGCAGUGAAAUGGUAGAGAACACAAGAUUUCAAGACGCGUUUUAAAAGUUGAACUUCUUUUAUUUUUCAUGUAGGGGAGACCGAGUGUGAACCGGGUAACACUUUUUGUUUCAGAAUCUUUAGCUCACUGAUUUUUUUAGAGUGCUCAAACUUAUACAAAGUACCUUUUUUUUUUUUUAUUACAAAAGGCACCAAUUUAAACAUCUGCAAGAAUAUCACAGCACUUUUGAGUUGAUGUCAAAUACAACCUUUGUUACAACCUGCCCCACACAUGUUGGUGUAAGUUGUAACAAUUGGCAAACAUUGGCAGGCACCCUUCUAUCUGUCUUUGCUUUUCAUUUUCUAGUAAUUCACUAAAGUUAUUAAAAAGAAAAUGUUCUUAGUUGUAUGUAAGGGGAUGGUUGUAACACUUUUUAAUGAUGUUACAACCCACCCCACCAGUCAGCCAGUGUUUAGCAAACCAAAUUAGCAUAAUGGUUUUAAAUUAGCAGGUUAAAAAUGCAUCACAUUUUACCCGAGAAUCUACAAUAAAAUGUAAUAUAAGUUAAAAGCAAAAGUUUAUGUACUAAACAAAAUCUGGUUUUGGCCAAAAAAAAAAUUACAUUCUUACCACAAAAUCAUUUUUUUUCUUUAUAAAAACCUGCAUGUGCCUAUUUCCAGCUUUGACAGUCAUUAUGGGAUCUGGGAGGAAGUGGGUAAACACUGAAAUGAUCAUAGGACCUGUCCUAGCUUAUUCCUGAUUGGUGGAAUCGGUGGUGUUACAACUCUCUCCAUGUUACAACCAUACCUGGGCUGUGUUCAGCCCCGACAAAAUGUUGCAAAACGUUUUUUAAACGGAAAUGGUGGUGCGUUGAACACCCUGUUCUGAUGAUGCAAGAGUUGCAACUAUGGCAGCUGAGAAGGCCAUUCUUUGUCUUCUUUUUGAAGAAUUGAUAUGCUAUAUUUUUACUAUAAAACUCUUACGACAAACAUGUCUUCUAAUAUCUUCAAUUGUUGUGUAUACCGAGCUGCAGCGGACACAUUUGUAAACGAAUUUACUUGGACCCAUUGUGCGAGCUGUCUCUUUAAUACCGCAUGAUUUAUAUACAUGUUGCUGCUGAUUGGGCUGACAUUUUUGACACACCCACCAAAUAAGAAAAAACGUAUCUCAAACCCCAUUGCACACUGUUUUCAGGAAACAUGUCGUUCAACUCGGAAACCGUAGCAAAACGUUGAACUUGAACUAGGUCUCCCCUAUUCAUUUUAACUUGGCGUCUUAAAACGCGAGACGCUGUGCACAUUUACAUAAGAAAAAUAAAAAAAUAAAGAAAAUAAAAUCUAAAAAAUUUUAAAGCAGCGCAAAACGCUACUUUGCUGGGCGCAUGUUUACAUAAAACAAUGAAAAAGCAACGCAAAACGCCUUAAAACGAAGGCUACACAAAUGCAAAAAACUUAUUCUGUGUGAACUGUCCCUAAACUAUGCUAAUCCUUCUCUUCUAUUCUAUUUCAUUAUGUGCUGCUUGACAGACCCUUUCAUGCGAGGAAGGGAGCUGUUGUAUUAGUGAGAGUGUUACACAGGAGAAAUCUGAAUCCGGUCAGACCCCAAACAUUACACAGGCCUUGGCAGCGACUCCUGUACACACACAGAGUAUGUCUAAACCAGUCACUGUUACCCAGCUGAUAAAUGCUUACACUGAUAAUACAGCUAAGGAACAUUUAAAAAUGCUGAACAGUUUGUCCUUGUGCAAAUAUUCAGCCUUGUAAUGCAAAUGAUAUUUACUCAGGUGGAUAAUGGGAAACAAUGGCCAGUACACAGGCCAAAUUUACUUUUGGCUAUUUUGGGCUGUUUGUUUUGUAAAAACAAACCUUUACAGAAACAACAUUAUGUAGACUAUAGAGUGAAAUAUGACUAAGUGCUCACAGAUUUUGUUAGCAUAGGUGAAGUAGCCUAUGUUAAGUAAGUUAAUGAGUGUGCACUUCACUAUAGAAGUCGCCCUUGAACUCUGUUGGUACUGCUUGAAAUCUCAACCCACGGAAGACCUCAACAUACAUCAGGUACAGUGACAAGCUCAUGUUUUUAAUAUGUGUAAUAUAAAAUAUAGGGCAUGCUAUAAAUAGUUUAAUGAUGUAGUUUGUCUGCCUUUUUGACACUAGAUUGGGGUUGGAUUUCAUUUGACCCGGCAUGCAUUCAGUGUCUUGUUGCAACCAUCUCAACUGGUUGUAAAUUAUGUAGCUGAGUUAGCUUUGCAAAAUAUGAUGUGUCAUUCCCGUGUCUGUCCACUAGAUAGAGCAGGAGAAGUUCAGUAACUGUUUCGUUUCAGCUGCAGGUGGACAGUGAGGAUCUAACACUGCCCUCCAGUGGUGAGCGCUUGAAUUACCAGCGAGACCCUAGGCCUCAUUUUGGAGUAGCCCACUCCUCUCGCUCUGUAUCGUUUCCCCUGUGGGACAGUGAUAGGCCGAGAGAGAUGAAGAGGGGGGAGGAGAAGGAGGAGACCGUGGAUUCUGUCAGCUGUUGUCCUCACUGCCAUCUUGGGCUGCCACGUGAUACACUGCGCUGGCACGAGGUAAAGUGUCUGAUGUUUGAUGGACAAAGAAACAGUUCGUCUUAAUAAAUCUUCAAUAACCAUCCCUCUGUCUGUUGACGGCUACCUGAAAUAAGCUAUAAAAUUGUUGAUAUUUUUGUUCAAUCCUCUUUUACCUAAAUCCUGUUUCUUAUUCAUAACUUUUAGUAUAUUUUUUACUAAUAUAUAGUAAACAAUUUAAGGACUGGACUGUGUGAAAUAAUAGAAUUUCAUUUCAAUAAUACAGCAUUACUGUUCUUUGAGGUCAAAAACAGCGGUCAACUGCUUCACUGCUGCAAGCUUGAAAUUAUGCUAAUGAACUAUGUGCAAUGUUGUCAAAUAGUAUUUACUAAGGAUGAAUCAGGAAUGUCAGAAAAUGUAAUGACUUGCCCAAAGUUUGCUAGUAAUAUAAAAAAUAAUAUCGUUACAAAUACAUUGUUAAAAAAUAUAUGCACUGUAUACAUUAAAAUUGUCAACAAUG